rnacentral:lncRNA from 1 species
GAUUGGGCACGUUGCCGACGUGGGCGGGCAGGGUUUGCCAGCUGGGGGCUUGACGACUGGGGGAACAGUGACAGGGGGCACGGUGAUGGGGGGUAUGGUCACAGGGGGUAGGGUGAUGGGCGGCUUGACGACCGGUGGGAGGGGCAGAGGUGGGAGCGGUGGGAGGGGCAGAGGUGGGAGCGGUGGGAGGGGCAGAGGUGGCAGCGGUGGGAGGGGCAGAGGUGGGAGCGGUGGGAGGGUGACUGGCGGCUUGACGAUCGGUGGGAGGGGCAGAGGUGGGAGGGUGACUGGCGGCUUGACGAUCGGCGGCAAUGUGACUGGCGGCUUGACGAUUGGUGGGAGGGUCACGGGUGGCUUGACGAUGGGUGGCAAUGUGACGGGUGGCUUGACGAUGGGCGGGACAACAACAAUGGGCCUCUUGGG